rnacentral:rRNA from 1 species
UACGGAGGGUGCAAGCGUUAAUCGGAAUAACUGGGCGUAAAGGGCAUGCAGGCGGUUAAACAAGUAGGAUGUGAAAUCCCCGGGCUCAACCUGGGAGCUGCAUACUAAACUGUUUAACUAGAGUAUUGCAGGGGGAGACGGAAUUCCAGGUGUAGCGGUGGAAUGCGUAGAUAUCUGGAAGAACACCAAAGGCGAAGGCAGUCUCCUGGGCAAAUACUGACGCUCAUAUGCGAAAGCGUGGGUAG